rnacentral:rRNA from 1 species
GACGAACGCUGGCGGCGUGCUUAACACAAGCAAGUCGAACGGAAAGGCCCUGCUUUUGUGGGGUGCUCGAGUGGCGAACGGGUGAGUAACACGUGAGUAACCUGCCCUUGACUUUGGGAUAACUUCAGGAAACUGGGGCUAAUACCGGAUAGGAGCUCCUGCUGCAUGGUGGGGGUUGGAAAGUUUCGGCGGUUGGGGAUGGACUCGCGGCUUAUCAGCUUGUUGGUGGGGUAGUGGCUUACCAAGGCUUUGACGGGUAGCCGGCCUGAGAGGGUGACCGGCCACAUUGGGACUGAGAUACGGCCCAGACUCCUACGGGAGGCAGCAGUGGGGAAUAUUGCGCAAUGGGCGGAAGCCUGAUGCAGCAACGCCGCGUGCGGGAUGACGGCCUUCGGGUUGUAAACCGCUUUCGCCUGUGACGAAGCGUGAGUGACGGUAAUGGGUAAAGAAGCACCGGCUAACUACGUG